CCCAAGCAAGCCAGGAAGGAGGCAGGCAGAGUUCCCUGCAGCAGACCCUCUGCCCAGACCAUCCAGCACAGCUUUUGCAAGUGCUAAGUGAGGGAUUUCAAAAUAGAUAUAUUAUUAAAGAAGCAAAGAAAUCUAACAUGCGGAACAAAGUUCCAAUGUGGUGGGGACUAGAGACAGGGCCUUUUCGGUUGUAGCCCCUCAGCUUUGGAACAUCCUCCCUGAAGAGCUUCAGCAUGCUCCCUCC